AAUCAAGUGCCUUAAGGGUGUUCGGUGGAUGCCUUGGCGCUGAGAGGCGAUGAAGGACGUACUACGCUGCGAUAAGCCGUGGGGAGCUGCGAAGAAGCUUUGAUCCACGGAUUUCCGAAUGGGGAAACCCACCUUCGAUAGCUGGAACUCCAAGGCCUUGUGUCUUUACGACCAAGGGUUUGGGGUUCGUACAGCAAGUGUGCGAGACCAAGCCUUUGACAAAGUCGAUGAGGUUUUGGAUUUCCAGUUAUCAAGUGAAGGUAUGAUACUUCCGAAUAAAAUAGGAGGUUUCAAGCAAACCCAGGGAACUGAAACAUCUAAGUACCUGGAGGAAAGGACAUCAACAGAGACUCCGUUAGUAGUGGCGAGCGAACGCGGACCAGGCCAGUGAUACAUCAAAGACAACCGGAACCUGUCAGGAAAGCAGGGCCUCAGAGGGUGAUAGCCCCGUACGGGUAAUGCAAUGAUGUGUCCUCGAGUAAGGCGGAACACGUGCAAUUCUGUCUGAACAUGGGGGGACCACCCUCCAAGCCUAAGUACUCCUCAGCGACCGAUAGUGAACCAGUACCGUGAGGGAAAGGUGAAAAGCACCCCGACGAGGGGAGUGAAAUAGACCUGAAACCGGACACCUACAAACAGACGGAGCCCAAGAUACGUUCUGGGUGACGUCGUACCUUUUGUAUUAUGGGCCAGCGACUUAAUUUAACGAGCAAGCUUAAGCCGAUAGGCGUAUGCGCAGCGAAAGCGAGUCUGAAUAGGGCGUCAAGUUCGUUGUAUUAGACCCGAAACCUAGUGAUCUAGCCAUGAGCAGGUUGAAGGUGAGGUAACACUCACUGGAGGACCGAACGGGUGCCUGUUGAAAAAGGCUCCGAUGACUUGUGGUUAGGGGUGAAAGGCCAAUCAAACUGGGAAAUAGCUGGUUCUCCGCGAAAGAUAUUUAGGUAUCGCCUCGGAUGAAUACCUCAGGGGGUAGAGCACUGGAUGGGCUAGGGGGACUUACCGUCUUACCAAACCCAACCAAACUCCGAAUACCUGAGAGUACUAUCCGGGAGUCACACGGCGGGUGCUAACGUCCGUCGUGGAGAGGGAAACAACCCUGACCUACAGCUAAGGCCCCUAAUUCGUGGCUAAGUGGGAAAGGAUGUGGAAAUCCCAAAACAACCAGGAGGUUGGCUUAGAAGCAGCCAUCCUUUAAAGAAAGCGUAACAGCUCACUGGUCUAAAUAAGGGUUUCUGCGCCGAAGAUGUAACGGGGCUCAAGCCACGAG
rnacentral:rRNA from 1 species